AGUGGUAGAGGAAAUUAAAGGGGGCAGCAAGUCAGCAAAGAGCUCGUGUACAUCUUCCCCGACAAGUGGGGCCCACACGAGCGAUUAUCACACAUCGUCCGUUGAUCUGUCUCCAAGAAGUCUGGAGAAGCACUGCCGUCCGAUGAACGACGCAGUCAAAGUCACUGAACUCAAAGGAAGCCUCCUCGAGAGAUUGGACAAGAUUGAGGAUAGAGUCCUGAAGCUUUGUUUGCAAGUAGAGGGAGAGAUUGAAAGGGAGAGGGAGAUGAUAAUGGUUGAGAAGAGUAGGAAGAAGCCUAAGAAGAGCUUUAAACAACUUCUUCAACACUGUAUGACCGGGUCGGGAAAGAUCUGAAUUACGGUCUCGAUCAAUGUAUGACUCGUGAUGACUUGAUUUUACUUGACCUUUUAAUCUCGAGUUAGGAUAGUUUUGGUUGAUGAGCGUUGACAGGACAUUUCAUUAGAGGGUUGAAGAUUAAUUUUGAAUCUGUACAAAUAAAGUCGGGUGUCUUGUUCUUGUAAUGCUAUUUAUCAUAUACGAUUGAACCACGAAAAUUAAUGUUUUGUUGAGAAGUAAUUUUUUCGAUCUUAUAAUUGAGACCAGGCGCCUUACGUGGCCUAAA